UGAUUAGAAGCUUGCUUCUAUGACGUUAGCGGCGGACGGGUGAGUAACACGUGGGCAACCUGCCUGUAAGACUGGGAUAACUUCGGGAAACCGAAGCUAAUACCGGAUAGGAUCUUCUCCUUCAUGGGAGAUGAUUGAAAGAUGGUUUCGGCUAUCACUUACAGAUGGGCCCGCGGUGCAUUAGCUAGUUGGUGAGGUAACGGCUCACCAAGGCAACGAUGCAUAGCCGACCUGAGAGGGUGAUCGGCCACACUGGGACUGAGACACGGCCCAGACUCCUACGGGAGGCAGCAGUAGGGAAUCUUCCGCAAUGGACGAAAGUCUGACGGAGCAACGCCGCGUGAGUGAUGAAGGCUUUCGGGUCGUAAAACUCUGUUGUUAGGGAAGAACAAGUACAAGAGUAACUGCUUGUACCUUGACGGUACCUAACCAGAAAGCCACGGCUAACUACGUGCCAGCAGCCGCGGUAAUACGUAGGUGGCAAGCGUUAUCCGGAAUUAUUGGGCGUAAAGCGCGCGCAGGCGGUUUCUUAAGUCUGAUGUGAAAGCCCACGGCUCAACCGUGGAGGGUCAUUGGAAACUGGGGAACUUGAGUGCAGAAGAGAAAAGCGGAAUUCCACGUGUAGC
rnacentral:rRNA from 1 species